GGAAACAUUGAGUUAAACCACUAAAUGACUUAUCUAGUGUUGUUUGCGGUUAGAAUAUGUUAAAAUACACUAAAUAUGAUUUAUGAAAAGUGCUAGUGAUUUAUGAAAACUGUUUAGCAAUGUGGAGAAACACUAGUUGAAAUUGGGUCCAAAAUGGGCUAAGAACUCGGAAACCUUGCGUUGAUCCACGAAAUGACUUAUCUAGUGCUGUUUUGGGUUAUAAUAUGUUAGGAUACAAUAAAUUUGAUUGAUUACAAGUGCUAGAGAUGCAUGAAGAGUGUUUAGAUGUGUGGAGAAAGACAUGUUAAAAUUGGGUUCCAAAUGGGCUAAGAACUCGGAAACAUUGCGUUAAACCACUAAAUGACUUAUCUAGUGUUGUUUGGGGAUAUAAUAUGUUAUAAUACAAUACAUUUGAUUGAUUACAAGUGCUAGAGAUGCAUGAAGAGUGUUU
rnacentral:lncRNA from 1 species